UGUCAGAAUUGAGUAUAGGGGCGAAAGACCAAUCGAACCAUCUAGUAGCUGGUUCCCUCCGAAGUUUCCCUCAGGAUAGCUGGUGCAUUAUAAUAUUAUGUUAAAUAAUCUUAUCUGGUAAAGCGAAUGAUUAGAGGCCUUAGGGUCGAAACGACCUUAACCUAUUCUCAAACUUUAAAUGGGUAAGAACCUCACCUUUCUUGAUAUGAAGGUUGAGGUUAUGAUAUAAUGUGCCCAGUGGGCCACUUUUGGUAAGCAGAACUGGCGCUGUGGGAUGAACCAAACGUAAUGUUACGGUGCCUAAAUUAACAACUCAUGCAGAUACCAUGAAAGGCGUUGGUUGCUUAAAACAGCAGGACGGUGGACAUGGAAGUCGUAAUCCGCUAAGGAGUGUGUAACAACUCACCUGCCGAAGCAACUAGCCCUUAAAAUGGAUGGCGCUUAAGUUGUAUACCUAUACAUUACCGCUAAAGUAGAUGAUUUAUAAUACAAUUUCGAUUGAAUUAUAAAUUUUGAAACUUUAGUGAGUAGGAGGGUACAAUGGUGUGCUUAGAAGUGUUUGGCGUAAGCCUGCAUGGAGCCGCUAUUGGUACAGAUCUUGGUGGUAGUAGCAAAUAAUCGAAUGAGACCUUGGAGGACUGAAGUGGAGAAGGGUUUCGUGUGAACAGUGGUUGAUCACGAGUUAGUCGGUCCUAAGUUCAAGGCGAAAGCCGAAAAUUUUCAAGUUUUAAUGC
rnacentral:rRNA from 1 species